GCGUUGCCUCCGACCUGCAUACAUCUGAGCUGGAACCAGUUCCAGUUGGAGUCUAACUCGGUGGACCUGAGAGGAAAGAAAAGAACAAAACAAAGUCAGCGCUGCAGAACGACAUGUACACCGUGUUGAUACAGAUUCUCAGUAACACUGAGUCUUACCUGAUGAAGCUGAGAUGAACUCCCAGGGAGCGGUGGAUGCCCGAGCAGUCGAUGCACAAGAACACGCCGUAAGAGAUGCUCGCCCAGCUCGGGUUUUUGGCCGCGCAGUCAAAACAUGCCUGCAAGGAACCAGCACAAACAAUUAUUACACGGGGCGACUUUGAUGAAAUCUGUAACGAACAUCAACUUGGUUUUGGGGAGUAGCGCAGUACGGUUGCCAGUUCCAGUCCCGGUGUGG